CACAGGAGAACGCGAGACGACCAGAAGCUAGGGUUCUCUCCGCCGCCGCGCACAAACCCUCCGGUCCGGCAACCCUCGCGUCCCUCUCCUAUCCCCAGUUGCCGUUGUAGUCCCCUGCCACCGGUACGGCGCGCGAGGGCGAGAGCCACGCGAAGCGCCAGGCCGGCGAAGGCGCGGGGGAGGAGGAAAAAGAGGAAGCGAGAGGGCGGCCGCGGCGGAAGGAGAUGACCAUCUGAUGUCUCGGUGGGGUAGCCCAACCCACCACUCCUCCUGCGGCGACGACGGCAGAGAGCAGAAGACAAUCUGACAACGCUGCCGCAGAUGAUGAAAUUGGAGAAGCGGUCUUGGUGAUAAGGCCGGUGGACUGAGGAACUACGGAUGUGGUGGCGGAGGACGUAGAGACUACUCAGCCUUGGUCCAGAAUUUUGGCAGAUCACUCAGAGACGGGUGCAUUCCUAUCUCGUCCUUCUCGAUUGAACUAUUUGUCUGUCAUCCCCUUCUCCGAUUGAAGUACAUCAUGCUAGAUACCACAGAGGUUAGUUGGUCUAACUAUAUUUACUAGCUAUUUUAAUCAUGUUACAGAAGCCUCGCUGAACUCCCUUGGUGUUGGUUCUUCUUGAAGUAAAGAAUUUACGUCUAGACUUGGCAUAAUUCAGUUCCUGGAUGAAAAAAAGUUGCAUGUCCUUUGAGUCUGAAAACCAUACUGGGCCUUGGAGCAUGAUGCGGAAAAUUGCAGGUAUUUCCUGCACUUCCUGCACAUGAAGGCGGAUGAUUUUUUUUGGAUGCCACUAUCGUCAGACACAUCGUGUUUAUCAGUGAGUAACUGGUACAAAGUUCAGAUUAUCAGUUUCCAUUCGUGCUGAUGGAUGGAUAGCUUCGUUGCAGUCGUCGGGAGAAAUAUCACCAAUGGUAGGUAGGCUGAGGCGGACGCUAAUACCAAGCGGUCAAUGUAGGAAACCAACCCCGCCUCGUGCCAUUCCCCAUCUUUGUAUUUGUGUUAGGCCCAACUCAAGGUAGAGGAGUAAGAGGAGGCCAGAAAGAAUGAAGCUAGAAGGCAGAAGGCAUUUGAUCUGAAGGCAUGGUUCACAGAAAGUUGUUGAAGUGAAAGAUGAAGAGGAAUUUGUGGAGGAGCUGAAGACAUGACGUGGAAGAAAGAAGAAAGCAAACCCUAAACAUUAUAAUGAUGGAGACUGUUUGAUAUCUUGUUGUUUCAAGAAAUUCUGAUUAAGCGCUCAACCCGUGACCGAGUACUGCCCUGCCUAGACACACGUCCAGGAUGCGGAAGAUGCGGCGCUUGCUGGAAAGCUGGUCAAGUAGGCCCCCACUUUGUGUUUUAGCAGAUUGAUCCUGCACAUCACACUAACUGCUAGAAAUAAGUGGACUCAGAACAAUUUGCAAUCAUCAGUUGGAUAUUUGAUGACUACAAUAUAUGAUGUUUUCUAUAUUGAGUUUGUAUAUUCGAUCUCACCACUGUUUAGCUUCCUUCUGAGAUCCAAUUUAUAUUUUUCAGUUUUCACACUAGAGUGAUUAUUUAUAUGUAUUACUGUAGAGACACGGGAAUCUAGAUUGUUCUUUCCCAUGAACCCUAAACUUCAGUUAAAUGUAUUCUCUGUAAUUAAAACAUCGUUGUCUUUUUCCUGGAUUGUACUAAUUUUCAGGUUUCGGUGUCUGAAUCUUCAAUACAAAACAGAGUCUGAAAGUAUAUGCCAUUUAGAGGAGUAAUUCCGCCAACAUAAACUUUUUCUUUUGUCCCUCAAAUAUUCCAGUUUUCUUCUACAGUUGAAUGUGUUGUUGGUAGCUUUCCUUCAUAGAGUUUUGAUAGCAACUACCAGAAUAUACCGUUAUAAAAUCCAUAACUAUUUAUAGCCACAAUAGUAAAUUCCACCAAGAGCUCAGGCGAGCAGACUAUCACCGGGUCACAUAUCCUCAUAUUUUCAUUGGAUAUUUCUCUCAAUUUAACUAAGAAGAAAACAUACAUCUGCUGAGUAUUUCAAUUGUGUAAAAUAAUAAGAUUAGUGGGAAGCUUAGAAAUUCUGCUUCUGUUGCCUUUGUGCAUUCAUGUCAUUUUGACACUUUCAUCAUGGAUAAUUUGUGCCCAUCUGUUUGGUGAAAUAAUGUGUUUUGAUGUACAAGUGACUAAAAAUGGUUAAUGCUUUUUGCUUGAGCAAUGAGAAGUCAAGAAGCUUACCGACAAGGAUCAAAAGAAAACAUCAGUCAUGCCUAAUUGUGAAGAAGAGUAAGCCAAUAGAGCUAUUUGGGUUGUAUAAGAAGAAUACCGACCAGUGCAGGUUGAGGCUAGACAAUUGUUGCUUA